rnacentral:rRNA from 1 species
GAUGAACGCUAGCGGCAGGCCUAACACAUGCAAGUCGAGGGAGAAGCCUUUCGGGGCAGAAACCGGCGCACGGGUGCGUAACGCGUAUGCAACCUACCUUUCACAGGGGGAUAGCCCGAAGAAAUUUGGAUUAAUACCCCAUAAUAUUGUUGGAUGGCAUCAUCUGAUAAUUAAAACUGCGGUGGUGAAAGAUGGGCAUGCGUCCUAUUAGCUAGUUGGAGUGGUAACGGCACCCCAAGGCUACGAUAGGUAGGGGUCCUGAGAGGGAGAUCCCCCACACUGGUACUGAGACAGGGACCAGACUCCUACGGGAGGCAGCAGUGAGGAAUAUUGGUCAAUGGUCGGAAGACUGAACCAGCCAUGCCGCGUGCAGGAAGAAUGCCUUAUGGGUUGUAAACUGCUUUUAUAUGGGAAGAAUAAGGUGUACGUGUACAUUGANGACGGU